rnacentral:misc_RNA from 1 species
ACAAACUUGGUCAUUUAGAGGAAGUAAAAGUCGUAACAAGGUUUCCGUAGGUGAACCUGCGGAAGGAUCAUUACCAAAAAUAAUGCCGGGAGCAAGGAGGCGUGGAGAAAUCCGCACCGCUUUGCUUCUCGCCACCCAGGCCGCGGGAGGUUUUUGGACCUUUGUGUCCGGAUUUGCCGCGUGCCCUUCUUGGCCCGCCGUCAAACGCGGGCCUCCCUGGACUUCGGUCCAGGACACGCAUAGCCCUGGUCUGCUUGGGGGUUUUGGGGCCUAAAAAACCCCUGGCCCCCAACAGCCAACUUUUCUAUUUUAUUUUGGCAGACGCCUAUUUUUGAAACCGGUGGCUUUUGAAAAGACAAUCAAUUGAAACAACUUUUAACGGUGGAUCUCUAGGCUCGUGCAUCGAUGAAGAACGCAGC